GAUGAACGCUGGCGGCGUGCCUAAUACAUGCAAGUCGAGCGAACAGACGAGGAGCUUGCUCCCCUGACGUUAGCGGCGGACGGGUGAGUAACACGUGGAUAACCUACCUAUAAGACUGGGAUAACUUCGGGAAACCGGAGCUAAUACCGGAUAAUAUAUUGAACCGCAUGGUUCAAUAGUGAAAGACGGUUUUGCUGUCACUUAUAGAUGUAUCCGCGCCGCAUUAGCUAGUUGGUAAGGUAACGGCUUACCAAGGCGACGAUGCGUAGCCGACCUGAGAGGGUGAUCGGCCACACUGGAACUGAGACACGGUCCAGACUCCUACGGGAGGCAGCAGUAGGGAAUCUUCCGCAAUGGGCGAAAGCCUGACGGAGCAACGCCGCGUGAGUGAUGAAGGUCUUCGGAUCGUAAAACUCUGUUAUUAGGGAAGAACAAAUGUGUAAGUAACUAUGCACGUCUUGACGGUACCUAAUCAGAAAGCCACGGCUAACUACGUG
rnacentral:rRNA from 1 species